GGGUCUGUAGCUCAGUUGGUUAGAGCUGUCCGCUCAUAACGGAUAGGUCGGGGGUUCGAGUCCCUCCGGACCCACCA
rnacentral:tRNA from 1 species